GGAAAACUCACACCACCACGUUCACUCCCAACACUCACUCCAAAAAAGAGAAAUAGAGGAAAUAGAUUAAAGAGUCUAAGGAAAGAUAAACGCUCUCACACAUGCAGCUCUCAUGCUAGUCACACCCACUCCCAGCAUACUCCAGAGAGAGGUGGAGAAUAUUGCUAGGUUCCUGUAUUUCAUGGACCCCAGCAGCGGAUCCUGUUCACUAGCAUAAAUGUUAUCCAUAGUCUUUCAACAAGCUCUUGCAAGCUGGACUCAGCAAGCAGAUGCUCUAGAACCUUCUGAAAAGCAUUAAAAGGCCCCAGUCCAUCAAGUUAGACAACCUCUUCUCCUCAAUCACCCUGAACACCAGCAUGCCACAAGUCUGUGUGCUGAGCCUGCUUCUGUACUCCCUGUUCACCCAUGACUGUGCUACUGCUUAUGGCUUCAACUCCAAAAUCAAGUUCACAGAUGACACCACGGUGAUAGGCCUGAUCGAAGACAAUGAGACUGCCUAUAAGGAUGAGGUUCAGCACUUGCCCAGGUGGUGUGCAACAAAUAACUUGGAACUUCUCAAGAAGACGAAAGAUCAUUGUGGACUUCAGGCGGACUGGAAGCCAGGCCCCAUCAAUGGACCUGUGGUGGAGCGUGUGCCUGGUUUCAACUUCCUUCGCAUCCACAUCUCCCAUGAUCUCACCUGGUCCCUUAACACCUCCACCAUAGUCAAAAAGGCACAGCAGCACCUUUACUUUCUAAGGAACCUCAAGAAGGCACACCUGUGUCCUACGAUCCUGGUGGACUUCUAUUGCUGUACCAUUAUGAGCAUACUCACUAACUGCAUCUCAGUCUGGUAGAGCAACUGCUCUGCUUCUGACCGCAAAGCACUCCAGCAGGUAAUUAAAACUGCCCAACAAAUAACUGGCACCCAGCUACCCACCACUGAUGACAUCUACCACAAGCAUUACCUUGGCCAGGCAAAACACAUCAUUAAGGAUGCCUCCUACCCUAACAAUGGACUUUUCACCCUCCUCCCUGCUGGCAGGCGGUACAGAAGUCUACAUUCCUGCACAAGUAGGCUCAAGAAGAGCUUCUUCCCCCGAGGCUGUGACCCUGCUAAACUCAAACCCUCCACUCUAAAAUUCCACACCUUGUAUUAUACUGUACUGCUCAGUACUUUAUUGGACAGUUAUUAUUGGAUGGUUACUUGCACUAUUCAUAUUUGCAUUCUGAACCUCACUGUUUACCCAUGUUCUGUACAUAUCAUCCAAUUGUACAUAUGUUGAUGUUCAUACUGUACAUGCCUCUCAUUUGCAAUCCCUUUCUAUUUUAAUAUAUUCACUGCUAAUGAAAUGCAGUUAGAUGCUAACUGCAUUUCAUUAGCUCUGUACUUGUACUCUGCUUAAUGACUAAAGUUGAAUCUAAUCUAGUCUCAUGUAUCACCUAUCUAAUCAGGUAUCAUGUUAUGUGUCACAGUUGUGGCUUAGGCUCUGGGUUACUGAUCGGAAGGUCAGGGUUUCAAGCCCUAGCACUGCCAAGCUGCUAUGGUUGGGCCCUUGAGCAAGGCCCUUAACCCUCUCUGCUCCAGGGGCACUAUCAUGGCUGACCCUGUGCUCUGACCCCAACUUCCUAACAUGCCGGGCUAUGCGAAGAAAAGAAUUUCACUGUGCAUACGUAUGUGAUCAAUAAAGACUCAUGUGUCUAGUGUCAUGUAUCUAAUGUAUCAUGUGUUUAAUGUUUUUUUUUUUUUUUUUUUUUUUUUUUUCUGGAUACACUCAAUGUUGCAUCACUGUAUGCACAUUUACAGUACCUGCUUUUGUUGAUCUGUAAGCAGAUGGAUCAACUAAUAUUGCAUACAUGAUUAGAUACAUAUCAUAGCGUCUCUCAGUAUCUGUUUGGAGAUUAUAAAAUAUUCGUCCAUAAAGUUUUGCUUGCAUCCUUUUUCAAACUGUCUUUUUAAAC
ensembl:lncRNA